GGAGAAGAGCCAUGUGUCAGUGGUAGAACACAUGCUUUGCAUGUAGAAGAUCCCAGGUUCAAAUCCUGGCAUCUCCA